GGAAUCUGGUGGCCGAAUUCUCUCUUCGGAAGCGGGCGACGGCAAGUAACGCGGUGAAUCUCGCCUAGGCGAGUAGGGCGAGGCUUUCAGCCCAAACAGGUAGCCAAGUCCGCAGGCGCAGGAGAGGCCUC
rnacentral:sRNA from 2 species